rnacentral:rRNA from 1 species
UCCAGACUCCUACGGGAGGCAGCAGUGGGGGAUAUUGCACAAUGGGGGAAACCCUGAUGCAGCGACGCCGCGUGGGUGAAGAAGCGCCUCGGCGCGUAAAGCCCUGUCAGCAGGGAAGAAAAUGACGGUACCUGGCUAAGAAGCCCCGGCUAACUACGUGCCAGCAGCCGCGGUAAUACGUAGGGGGCAAGCGUUAUCCGGAUUUACUGGGUGUAAAGGGAGCGUAGGCGGUUUAGCAAGUCAGAAGUGAAAGCCCGGGGCUCAACUCCGGGACUGCUUUUGAAACUGUUGAACUAGAUUGCAGGAGAGGUAAGUGGAAUUCCUAGUGUAGCGGUGAAAUGCGUAGAUAUUAGGAGGAACACCAGUGGCGAAGGCGGCUUACUGGACUGUAAAUGACGCUGAGGCUCGAAAGUGUGGGGAGCAAACAGGAUUAGAUACCCUUGUAA